rnacentral:rRNA from 1 species
UACGUAGGGACCAAGCGUUGUUCGGAUUUACUGGGCGUAAAGGGCGCGUAGGCGGCAAAUUAAGUCAGCUGUGAAAUCUCCGAGCUUAACUCGGAACUGUCAGCUGAUACUGAUGUGCUAGAGUGCGGAAGGGGCAAUCGGAAUUUUUGGUGUAGCGGUGAAAUGCGUAGAUAUCAAGAGGAACACCUGAGGUGAAGACGGGUUGCUGGGCCGACACUGACGCUGAGUGCGCGAAAGCCAGGGGAGCAAACGGG